AAGAGAAUUUAUGUUAACUGUUUGAGUUCCACAGAGAUUCAGGAAGAAGACCCUGGCCCAAACCAGCAGGUGGAGGCAAUGAAACAACAGGAACUGGAGUGUCUACCCUAAAGGCUGUACCAAAAAAAAAAAAAAAAAUGCAAUGACCAAAAAUGAAGUCAAUGACCAAGAACCUCUCAGAUGCCUCUGGAAGCCUCCUCCCUUCCUUAUUUAUUUAUUCAACAAAUAUUCAAGAAUACGGUCAAGUUUAGUGAUUGAUGUAGCUACAGCACACAAGAUAACCAGUGUUAAGGAUGGCUAUGCCCAAAGAUGGAAGCUGCCUGGAUCUUUCAGUCAGUGCUUAGAGAAGACCUACUUAGGAGGACUCCCUGAUGGAAACAGUCUCAGAAAUAUGACUAAGAAAUAAAAUGCUAUUAUAUUAA